CUCUCUGUGUGGAGAGAGAACUACCCUAAGCUUCAGGUCUUUCUUGCCAUUUUCAGAGCUAGCUCAGGGGGGUCACUAGGUUUUCCAUGCUUCUUUAUCUAAUGAGAUGAGUGGUCUCUGCUCUCCUGGCCUCUGUUCUCAUCUUUACCCAGGAAGGGAUCUUGUUCGCUAAUUGUUUGCCAGUGCCAGCUCUACUUCUAUCCUCUUGUCACAAUUGCUAGCAUUCCCCUCUGUCUUGAAAAUGAGACCAGGGUCCUAUUCCCCCAUGGAUAAUUCUACAAGUACUCCUCUUCACCCUUGAACUAAGACCUCUUCCUUUCAUCCCCGUGCAGCUAUAAGUGCUAUUGUUCCUUUUGGCCUUGGUAUUGUGACCUAGCACUGCAUAGGAGUUCUAAUGUGUUGAACAACCUGUUGAACUUAGUGCCAGCAAAAGGUUUCCUGCAAUCUCCUUAUGAACAGUUGCUGCCCCAACAGUGGGCUAAGAGCUCCUGAACUUGCUGUUGCUUCUGACAAUGCACUGGCCCCAAGGUGGACUGUACUGCCUGGGCUGUUCUCCAGGGGUUCACUACCACCCUGGUGAGGUAGACCUUUCUUGCUAACUUCCUAAGUUAUCUUGAGAAGGAAAAUUAUUUCAUCCAAGCUUUUUUUGGUUUUGCGGCUCCAGAAUUCAGUUUGAGGAGUUAAUUUUAGAGUUGUUUAGAGGAGAUUUGGGAGAGCUUGACUGAGUUCUUCUUCAAUCCACUACCUUGGUUCUACUUCUCUUUCCUCUCAUGUAUGAAAUUCUCCAAGACUGAGCUGCAAGACAAUUUCUGAUUUCCAUUGAUAAAGCCAUGGAAAUAGGGAAGAGAAAAAGUCAUGGCCCAAGAUCUCACAGUCAGCACUGGCCAUUCAUCAGGACUGUAAGAGUAUGGAUCUCAUAAGUCCCUCUCAGCAAUGGAAGGAACAAGAGAAAAUAAACAUUGGAGAUGGGGCAAAGUUAAGAAAGAAAUGGCAGAAGGAACAUGUAACCUUCCUAUUAAAGGUAACCUCUGAUUCAGUAACAUGCACAGGGGUUCUCUUAUGAUGAGA